rnacentral:rRNA from 1 species
GAGUUUGAUCAUGGCUCAGAUUGAACGCUGGCGGCAGGCUUAACACAUGCAAGUCGAGCGGGGGAGGUUGCUUCGGUAACUGACCUAGCGGCGGACGGGUGAGUAAUACUUAGGAAUCUGCCUAUUAAUGGGGGACAACAUCUCGAAAAGGGAUGCUAAAUACCGCAUACGCCUACGGGAAAGCAGGGGAUCACUUGUGACCUUGCGUUAAUAGAUGAGCCUAAGUCGGAUUAGCUAGUUGGUGGGGUAAAGGGCCUACCAAAGGCGACGAUCUGUAGCGGGUCGUGAGAGGAUGAUCCGCCACACUGGGACUGAGACACGGCCCAGACUCCUACGGGAGGCAGC